GUGAGAUUCAUCCGAAUUACUGAUUUUUAACUCCAUCAUAUUAGACAAUGGUGGUACGUACUGCAUUCCGUGAUGCAGAAAUAUAGUAUUUUAAAAAAUUUGAUUCAUUUAACAGUUUUUUAAUUGCUCGGUUUGAUGGUUGUUUAACGUUCAGUGGCUAAUAGUUCAUGCAUGUUCGGGACGAUACAAUACAAUUUUGAAAACAGUUGUUUAUAAAAGACACAUUUGAUGCACCAGUCAAAAAAGGUUAAACAUUCUGUUAUUUGUGAAAAUUAUGAGGAAAAAUAAUGAUCCUGAUAAAAUACACAUUCCAAAAAAUAAAAUAACA
rnacentral:lncRNA from 1 species